rnacentral:snRNA from 1 species
AUAUCUUCUCGGCUAUUUAGCUAAGAUCAAGUUAUUAAACUGUUCUUAUCAGAGUAACUCCUGAUACGGGCGUUCGCGCCCAAGGAUAGUAACUUUGAUGCGAGCCGCGUUCUUCCGGAGUUCCACGUGUCCGGACUGAGCGUUCGUAGG